rnacentral:rRNA from 1 species
CUUCGGGGGACAAAGUGACAGGUGGUGCAUGGUUGUCGUCAGCUCGUGUCGUGAGAUGUUGGGUUAAGUCCCGCAACGAGCGCAACCCUUAAGCUUAGUUGCCAUCAUUAAGUUGGGCACUCUAAGUUGACUGCCGGUGACAAACCGGAGGAAGGUGGGGAUGACGUCAAAUCAUCAUGCCCCUUAUGAUUUGGGCUACACACGUGCUACAAUGGACAAUACAAAGGGCAGCGAAACCGCGAGGUCAAGCAAAUCCCACAAAGUUGUUCUCAGUUCGGAUUGUAGUCUGCAACUCGACUACAUGAAGCUGGAAUCGCUAGUAAUCGUAGAUCAGCAUGCUACGGUGAAUACGUUCCCGGGUCUUGUACACACCGCCCGUCACACCACGAGAGUUUGUAACACCCGAAGCCGGUGGAGUAACCUUUUAGGAGCUAGCCGUCGAAGGUGGGACAAAUGAUUGGGGUGAAGUCGUAACAAGGUAGCCGUAUCGGAAGGUGCGGCUGGAUCACCUCCUUU